AGCAGAUUGGUAAAUAAAUUAUGAAUGUGGCUAGGGAGAAUGAAAAGGAAAUUGAUAUGGGAACGAACGAAUGCUAGAUUUGAAGGUGUUGAGAUAUUUAAUUUCCUGAAUUUCUCGAGUUUUGCAAUGACAAGUAGUAUCCAAAAUAUAAAGCCUUUGAAUAAAAUCGUCGGGGCCAAACAAUGAAAAUGAGAACCAGAUGAUGAACUGAAAAGGAUCUCA
ensembl:ncRNA F58H1.25 ncRNA